CGAGCCGACUGGGUGAUCGCGGCAGUGGUAUCGGCCUGAAGAAGGUGUUUGACCGGUGUCGAGGAAAGUCCGGACUCCACAGAGCGCGGUGGUUGCUAACAGCAACCCAGGGUGACCUGAGGGAAAGUGCAACAGAAAGUAGACCGCCUACCCGCUUCAUGUGGGCAGGUAAGGGUGAAAGGGUGCGGUAAGAGCGCACCGGCAUGCUAGGUGACUAGUGUGGCCAGGUAAACCCCACUGGGAGCAAGGCAAGAGGUCGCACCAGCUUAGUGCGGGUGUGACUGCACGAACGCUUGAGGGCUGCUCGCCCGAUGUUCGUGGGUAGCUGCUUGAGGCCGCCAGUGAUGGUUGGUCCAGAUGGAUGAUCACCACCCGUUCCGGUUCAGGCCAGAGCGGGAACAUAAUCCGGCUCAUAGGUUGGCUCGUUCG
rnacentral:RNase_P_RNA from 1 species